UAAAUUCUUUUGUCUUUACAUAUGUGUAUCUCUUAUUUUGAUUGCAGUAACAGAUUUUGGGUUUGGUUUUUUUUUUAAUAUAUAAGGAAAGAACAACACUGAAAGCAUUUACUUUCAACUUUCCUUGAUGAGAAAACUAGGAACCUGUAACAGAGCCAGACAUUUGAUGAAUAACCCUUUGCAGAAGAAUUGUAAUAUCCAAGCUCUCCCCACUUCAGGUCAAUAAACAAAAGGCAAUGUCAGAUCAAACCCAACAGUUUCAAGGUAUCAUUUAAACUGUGAUGAAAAACUAAAUGUAUCAGAAAUUGAUUUUGCAAACUAAACUUCUACAACUUUGAAUGGAUACAAUGUUGGUGUCUUCUUGGGUUUAUCUGUCUUCUCAAAUAUGGAUUUUUUUUUACAAAGUUUCAGUAAAAUCUUUGUAAAUAAAAGCACUUAGAUUUGCAC